rnacentral:rRNA from 1 species
AUUGAACGCUGGCGGCAGGCUUAACACAUGCAAGUCGAGCGAGCGGCGGAAGGGUGAGUAAUGUCUGGGAAACUGCCUGAUGGAGGGGGAUAACUACUGGAAACGGUAGCUAAUACCGCAUAACAUCAGAUGAACCCAUAUGGGAUUAGCUAGUAGGUAAGGUAACGGCUUACCUAGGCGACGAUCCCUAGCUGGUCUGAGAGGAUGAUCAUCCACACUGGGACGUAGACACUGCCCAGACUCCUACGGGAGGCAGCAGUGGGGAAUAUUGCACAAUGGGCGCAAGCCUGAUGCAGCCAUGCCGCGUGUAUGAAGAAGGCCUUCGGGUUGUAAAGUACUUUCAGUCGGGAGGCGUUACCGACAGAAGAAGCACCGGCUAACUCCGUGCCAGCAGCCGCGGUAAUAC